rnacentral:lncRNA from 10 species
GUUAGUUCUCCAACACGCGAAAAGGGUAGAGAGAACUGAUGCGGUGACAGAAGCAUUGGGUGAAGUUCACUUGGCACCACCCAAUUUCUAAUUCAGCCAUAUUUUUCAUAGUUCUACAAACAAACGUCCAGCUGGGUCUGGGUGCUGUAAUCCCUGCACUUUGGGAGGCCCAGGCGAGAGGCUGUAUUGAAGCCAAGAGUUUGAGACCAGCCUGGGCAAAACAGCAAGACUCCAUCUCUACAAAAGUUUAAAAAAUUAUGUAGAUAUGAUGGUGUGUGCUGCUAGUCCCAACUACUUGGGAAGCUAAGACGAGAGGAUCGCUUGAGGCCAGGAAUUUGAGACCAGCCUGGACUCCAUGUAUAGAAAUAUUGUGUCUCUUCCAGAAUCGAAGCUGUAAAACUACGAAUCAUUCUUCAGAUGGAGCCACAGAUUCAGUCCAUGACUAAGAUCUACCACAGACCCCUGGACCAGCCUGCUAGCCCAUGCUCCGACAUUGAUGACAUCAAAGGCACCCCUCACAGGGAAAUCUCAACUCCACAACCCCUACUACAAUACAAUUCAGCAGGAAACAAAGUGAUCAUUGGCCAACCUCCCCAACAGCACUUGGGAUUUCCUGUCGAGAAGGGGGACUGAGAAGUAGAACUAACUGGAUUUCCUAGGUCGACUAAGAAUCCCUAAGCCUAGCUGUGAAGGUGACCGCAUCCACCUUUAAACACAGGGCUUGCAACUUAGCUCACACCCAACCAUUCAAGUAGAAAAGAGAGCUCACUAAAAUGAUAAUUAGGUAAAAACAGGAGGUAAAGAAAUAGCCAAUCAUCUAUCACCUAAGAACACAGUGGGAGGGACAAUGAUGGGAUAUGCACCCAGGCAUUGGAGCCAGCAAUGGAUCCCCUCCUUUUGUAUGGGAGCUCUGUAUUCACGCUAUUAUAAAGUCUUACAUCUGCACAUUCUUCUGGUCCAUGUUUGUUAUGGCUCAAGCUGAGCUUUUGCUCUCUGUCCACUCCUGCUCUUUGCUGCCAUUGCAGACCCACCACUGACUUACACCCCUCCAGAUCCAGCAGGGUGUCAGCUGUGCUCCUCAUCCAGUGAGGCACCUAUUGCUGCUCCUGAUUGGACUAAAGGCUUGCCAUUGUUCCUGCAUGGCUAAGUGCCUGGGUUUGUCCUAAUUGAGCUGAACACUAGUCCCUGGGUUCCACAGUUCUCUUCUGUGACCCACGACUUCUAAUAGAGCUAUAACACUCACUGCAUGGCCCAAGAUUCCAUUCCUUGGAAUCCGUGAGGCCAAGAACCCCAGAUCAGAGAAGAAGAGGCUUGCCACCAUCUUGGAAGUGACACAAGAUGCCAUCUGGGGAGCUCUAGGAGCAAGGACCCCUUGGUAGCACUUCCAGCUCAGCCUCCCAAAUCACGCUAUUACAAGCAUGAGCCACUCUUUGUGGCCGCCACCUACUUUUUGAACUCCAAUUGUAUUAAACACCAUAAUAGACACUUUUGUCUGUUAUAUUUCAUGGAUCAUAAACUUUUUUAUGUAUAAUUUUACCUUUUAUUUUAGAUUCGGGUGGUACAAAUGCAGGUGUUUUACAUGGGUAUAUCAUGUGACACCAAGGUUUGGAAUACAGAUGAUCCCAUCACCCAAGUGCUGAGCAUAGAAUCCAACUGUUAGUUUUUCAGCCUUGCCCCCUCCAUCUCUCCACACUCUAAUAUUCCCUAAUAUCUACUGUUCCUAAAUUUAUGUCGAUGUAUAUAUUAUAUUUCUUAGAGUUCCCUGAAUAAUGGUCAGGGAAGGUAAUGUGAAUGAUGCAAAGAUGAUUAUGAAUAAAAUAUUCAGUUUUCUGGAGUGAGCAGGACACUUUUUCAUGCAAAAUUCCAUUUGAAUCCUCCACCUCCAGCCAGCGCGGUGUAGGGAGAGGAAGAGAGACAGACCUAUUAAAAGUUAUAUUUGUUCUCUUGCAGUCUUGUGACUUACUUCUUAAUGAAAACCCUUAUUGUUUUAUAAGAAAAGGAGAAUGAAUGCAGUGUUUGAGAUGGAGUUAUCUAGAAUUUUUAGAAGCAUAAACAGACAUUGAAAAAUUAUAGAAAACAAAGGCAGAAAAGCAGAAAAGACAUAGUAGGUCAGAUGGUAUUUUAGGCAAAUACACCAUAAACUGGCCACCCAGGUCUGCAUCUCUAGGGCUUUCCCAAAGAGGAGCAAAGCAGUUUAUAUUCUAUUAUUAUCACCACCAUCACCUUUAUUUCCCCCCUUACAUGAUGGAUGUCAAUAUCAUGAUCAUUCUCGUUGUCUGUAUAACCGUCAUCAUCAUCAUUAAUACCUCAUAAAUUUUUUCAUGUUAUUUUUAACAUAGUUAGAAAGAAAGAGAUUUUGGGCCUCCCAAAUCACUAAGCUAAAAGGAAAAGUCAAGCUGGAAACUGCUCAGGGCAAACCUGCCUUCCAUUCUAUGCAAAGUCACCGUCUGUUCACUAAGACAGAUGUAUAUUCUGAUUGCUUCUUUUGGAAAGACUUAUCAGAAACUCAAAUGAAUGCAACCAUUUUUCUCUCAGCUACUUGUGACCUGGAAGCCAGUUCCCUGCUUCUGUUGUCCCCAUCUUUCUGGAAGAAGCUAAUAUACUUCUUACAUAUAUUGAUUGAUGUCUCAUAUCUCUCUACAAUGUAUAAAACUAAGCUGUUCCCCUACCAACUUGGGCACAUGUCAUCAGGACUUCCUGAGGUUGUGUCAUGGAUGUACGUCCUAAAUCUUGGCAAAAUAAACUUUCUAAAUUAAACCAGACCCAUCUCAAAUUUUGGCAGCUCACAAUAGCACAUAAACAACACACCUUCCCGUUCCCCAAAAUAUUAGCGCAGGAUAAAAAUCUAAGAGUAUUUCAUAGCAACUGAUAGUUUGACCAAAAAAAAAAAAAGUUUUCUUUUCCCAAAAUAAAGUUCUGUGGCUUCUGUCAGGGAAAGUUUUUUGUUUGCUUAUUUGUGGGUUUUUUGUUUAGUUUGGUUUCGUCUUUUGUUUGUGGCUUUGGUGGUUUGUGGUUGGGUUUCUUUCUGGCUUAAACAUUUCUUGGUGAACAAAUGUUUAUGUCUUCAGGUCUGUAGACUUAGAUAACUAUCUUAAUCUGAGAAAUCUAAAGUUUUGAAUUGUUCUGUGAAUACCAGUGAAGGAAUCCACCUUCCCUCUGAAACCAUAUUCACAAGGCCUAACUUGAGGAUGCUAGAACCAUUUUCAACAACAAAGACACCACAUUCAUGCUUCCAUGGCAUACUGCAUGUCCACUUCAAGAUAGCACCUUUGUAUACAUUUGAUUAUUCCCCUUACACCCAUCUUACUUUGUAGUGUCUUCUGAAUGAUGAACAACCCAAGACUUAUAUGGUCAGAACUGAGAUCUGAGAUUGUCAGAACAAAGUGUCCUACUGUUUUUUUUCUGCUUGGAAUGUUAUUCCACAAUAUUCUACAAUAUUCAGUGCCAUGCAAUUGAAUGUGAAAUAUUCAAUAAAUAUUCAAUAUUCAAAAACAUAUUCAAUGCUAUUCAAAA